UACGGGGGGAGCAAGCGUUGUUCGGAUUUACUGGGCGUAAAGGGCGCGUAGGCGGCCUCCGCAAGUCAGUUGUGAAAUCUCCGAGCUUAACUCGGAAAGGUCAACUGAUACUGCGGGGCUAGAGUGCGGAAGGGGCAACUGGAAUUCUUGGUGUAGCGGUGAAAUGCGUAGAUAUCAAGAGGAACACCUGCGGCGAAGGCGGGUUGCUGGGCCGACACUGACGCUGAGGCGCGAAAGCUAGGGGAGCGAACGG
rnacentral:rRNA from 1 species